rnacentral:lncRNA from 10 species
GUGCCAGGGACUGGGUGCCGGUGGGGUCCGCUGCGAAUACUGGGGGUGGGCAGUUGGGACUCAGGGCCCCAGGCCCUCGGGGCUGCGGGGCCGCCUCUUCCAAACGCGCCUUAAGCGGUUUUGCAGUGGCUUUCCGCCGGAGGGCUGGGAGGCGCCCCGGCCCUGAGUCAGUCACCCUUUGGCCGGACAGGCGGUUCCCGGGCGCGGAGGAUGGAAACCUGGCGGUAACCUCUGCAGGUCGUGCCACUCGGUGUGCGCAAGGUCUCCAGAGGCAUCUUUUCAUUUUUAGGGGGCACUUUCCACGAAUUCAUUUGAGCUACACAGCAGUCCUGGGCAGUGGGGAGUGGUGAGCUCCAUUGUGUACACUUGGAAGCAGCCCAGAAAGUUCACUGAGGCAGAUGGGAGGCCCGGAGGAGAAAGAAUGAAGGAAGGCAUUUCAGCCCGAGUAAACUCCCCAGGCCCGCUCUGUGCCAGGCAGUGUUGCAAGCCUCGGCUUCUAGCACGGUGCUUUGUGCACAGUAAACACUCCAGCGGCUGUUGACCAAUGAAUGAAUGAAGAUUGUAGGCUCAAAUAUUCAAGUUAUCAAAGUGCAAAGAAUGAGAGGUUGUUUGCACUGGACUUCAAAAAUAAAUAGCCUGGACCUGUACUGUCUUACACAACAGCUAUGAGCUACUGGUAUGUGGCUAGUCCAAACUGAAAUGCCCUUUAAGAGUAAAACACACACUGGAUUUCAAAGACUUAGUACAAAGAAAAAAUGCAAAAUAGCUCAUUAGUAAUUUUUAUGUUAAUGACAUGUUGAAAUAACAUUUUGAUAUAUUAAGUAAAAUAUAGUAUUAGAAUUAA